GACGAACGCUGGCGGCGUGCUUAACACAUGCAAGUCGAACGGAAAGGCCCUGCUUUUGUGGGGUGCUCGAGUGGCGAACGGGUGAGUAACACGUGAGUAACCUGCCCUUGACUUUGGGAUAACUUCAGGAAACUGGUGCUAAUACCGGAUAGGAGCUCCUGCUGCAUGGUGGGGGUUGGAAAGUUUCGGCGGUUGGGGAUGGACUCGCGGGUUAUCAGCUUGUUGGUGGGGUAGUGGCUAAGCAAGGGUUUGACGGGUAGCCGGCCUGGGCGGUUGACCGGCCACAUUGGUACUGCGAGACGGCGCAGACGCCUACGGGAGGCAGCGGUGGCAAAUAUUGCACAAUGGUCGGGAGCCUGAUGCAGCAACGCCGCGUGCGGGAUGACGUCCUUCGGGUUGUAAACCGCUUUCGCCUGUGACGAAGCGUGAAUGACGGUAAUGGGUAAAGAAGCACCGGCUAACUACGUG
rnacentral:rRNA from 1 species